AUUUUCAACCUGGAAUGAUUGCUUGGAAAAGGAUAAAGUUUGUGAAUAUACUUGACAAUGGAUAUACAUUCAAGAGGACUGCAUGUUUCUCUUCCACCAUGUUAAAGCCAAGGGUAGUUAAGGGACUCUCUGAAUGGCACGGGAGAAGUUUGUUACAUACUACAUCACACUAUUAUGUCUUUUCAAGUAACCUCAGUAUGCUUGACUUAUAUGGUGACAUUUAUUGCUGAAAUUCAACAAAAUGUUAGAAGAAUGGUACUUAAGGAAAUUGCAAACAUGGACUGGAAAGUUAUGUUUCAGAAAACUCACCUUAC
rnacentral:lncRNA from 1 species